AGGCCACUGCACCCUGUGUACACCUCAGCCAGGCCACUGUGCCCUGUGUACACCUCACCAGGCCACUGUGCCUGGUCUGCAUUGUGAAUGGGUAGACAUGG
rnacentral:snoRNA from 14 species